UUCAAAAUGAGGAAAUCGCUCUGUCUUGUUUUACUGAUCUAUAGUCAUCUGACCUCCGGGUCCUUGUCGAAAAGCACCGAUCAGGCAAUUACCAUGGAGUCCUUGGAUUCUCUGACAUCCCUGAUAUCAGCCAGAUACUUCAACGAGUCCUGUAUUUUGAUAUUUUCCUCUGAAAGCUCGAGACUAUUCCACUCGUCACCACGCGACGUAGUCAACGUGAAGUACUUCGACCUGGAUAAGGAUAACGAGGAUAAUUAUAUUCGGGAUGUACUCAUCCCUUCCAUGGAAAUCGGUUGCUCUGGUCACAUCAUACAGACGAUUAAUCCCCGUGUCCAAUUGACAUUAAUCGAACGUACUUACGUCAAGGUGUCACAGAGAAUUCCGCGUUUUUUCUUGGUAUUGCCGAUUUCGGAUAAACAAAUAAACAAUUUGUCCUGGACGCAUCCCGUUCUUCAAAAAGAGACCGACCACUUGUUCGACGUCUUCAAUUCCACCUCAAUAAAAUCUGUACCGAAUCUCCUGGUCGUCGUUCCUGCUGCUGACAGGAACAACUUUGUGUUGUACACGCAUAAGUUUGGCGGGCACGAUGACCUCUUCAGACAAAUGGUACUCCUUGAUGUCUACGAAGUAAGCGACGGAACUUUUUUAUACGGAGCAAACCAAUUCCCAGAUAAAAUCAAGGACCUUGAGGGUAGAACCUUCACCGCUACAGUCCUGGAAUAUGCACCCUACAUAGCUAAGGAUCCGUUGACAGGGUAUGAAUUUCCUCAGCUGCAUUUCCGCUUUCGUAGGAUCUACAUUGACGAAACCUUUUUCAGGGAAUUAUUCGGAACGGAAUGGAACGUCGUCGUGGAAUUUUGUAAUCGUCAUAACUGCACACUGCGGCCAUUGGUUGACAACGUUUAUCUCUUCGGAGAGAUAUUCGACAACGCGACGGGAAACGGCGUCCUCGGGAACGUAGUGGAGGACAAAGCUGACGUUGGUUUCGGCUCCAUAGAUUUGUGGUAUCACGAAUGGCUCUUCCUCGACCUUGGACCAGCUUUCGUGCGAACUGCAGUCACUUGCCUUGUACCUCCACCUCGUCCUUUGGCGCAAUGGGCAACGCCCAUAAUUCCCUUCGACGGACUUUUGUGGUACGCGGUGAUCACCUCGGUGAUAAUUGACGCUAUAACGAUCUACGUGGUCUUCUAUCUAACAAAUUGGAUCCACCGUUACUCAAAUUUGAAAGACGAGCAACGCCCGAUGACCCCUGUUUCAGCCUGUUUGGCAGCUAUCGGACUUUCUGUUGAGCAAAGUCUGAACACCGACGUUAACAGGGCAUCCAGUCGUGUGCUGGUAUUAGCCUUGCUCCUAGUUUCGCUCCUAAUUUCGACGUCAUACGGCAGCGGACUCUCCUCAGUUCUCACCGUUCCCAGGUUCGAAAAACCGAUAAACACAAUCGAGGAUCUCGAAGCUAGCGGAAUCAGGUGGUCAGCACCACACGAGGCGUGGAUAUUCUCGCUUUACGGAUCCAACGAAUCAUGGCUGCUCAAUCUGAUCGAUCACUUUGUUGUUCUUCCGCCAAACUUGACCACAGCGAAGGCCUACGAAGCAGAAAUGGGGUUUUGCGUCGAGCGACUUCCAGGCGGCAACUACGCCAUUCAGGAUUACCUACCGUCAGACGCUGUUGAGCACCUGCACCUUAUGAGCGGUGACAUUUAUUGGACGUACACGGUAUCGAUGUUGAAAAAAAGUUCCCCUUUUACGGAACGUUACGCUACCCUCGAGUUGGAACUCCUCGCUUCCGGAAUUCCAUCGUACUGGGAAGGACUCUGCACCAUGUUAUCCUUGGAUCCGAAAACGCAGUACGCUGUUCCUGACAAAGUCUUCGAUGCGCAUCCAGUACAAUUGAACAUUGCUCAGAUUCAGGGUGCUUUUUUGUUUUUAUGUUGCGGACUCACCUCUGCCGCUGUAACCUUCGUUCUGGAGAUUGCCAGACAAAGUCGGAAGGCCAGAAACAUUGCCCGGACUAUGUCCGGCCCACAGGAGAUGAGAGUCGUGAAAGUAAAGACGACUACGGAGGAUCAUUAAAACCUGAAGAAGAAUCGCCUUCAAGAUCCAAGGGGAUUCUAGUACCUCGACGAGUACGUCGGCCUUCAAAUUUAUGACUUUCAGAUCCACAACGUCCAAAUCGACUCAUGAAUGUUGCAGGAGGGCCUGUGUCUAGGCCACCAGAUAUGCCAAUAGGUUUAGAAUUACAACUGCAGCGAGAACUGCAUCAUUGACUGAAGAUUGUAACUGCAGUUCAUCGCCACUACCAUUCUAUGCUACUACGUGUUCCUACAUGUAUCGAUAUCAUUUAAGACUGACAUGACGUCAAGAUUAGUCACAAAGACAUGGCCUGGUAUCUAGUUACGAGAUAUGUCGGAGGUGUAAGUGGUACGAAUUACAUAGAAGGAGAUAAGAUAUUGAUCGGUUGGAAUAUUCGCGUACACUUGCGGCCAAAGACUUGCUUGUCGACUGUAAAGGUUGAAGAAUUUCUAUGCAACCCCCGAUGCGAUGUGAUGCCAGUGGUGCUAACAAUCAAUCAGCUUUCGGACAACAUCAGUAUCAGCAUCAGAGAACGUUAACACCACGGUUCUAAUC